rnacentral:rRNA from 1 species
UACGUAUGGUGCAAGCGUUAUCCGGAUUUACUGGGUGUAAAGGGAGCGCAGGCGGUGCGGCAAGUCUGAUGUGAAAGCCCGGGGCUCAACCCCGGUACUGCAUUGGAAACUGUCGUACUAGAGUGUCGGAGGGGUAAGUGGAAUUCCUAGUGUAGCGGUGAAAUGCGUAGAUAUUAGGAGGAACACCAGUGGCGAAGGCGGCUUACUGGACGAUAACUGACGCUGAGGCUCGAAAGCGUGGGGAGCAAACAGGAUUAGAUACCCCGGUAGCUGACUGACU